rnacentral:tRNA from 1 species
CAGAAAAUAGUUUUUAAAAAUAUUAAUUUUGGAGAUUAAAGAUAAAGGGUACCUUUUUUUCUGA